rnacentral:lncRNA from 1 species
UGAAAUUAAAUCAAAAACUAAUAUUAUAAAAUUAAGAUUAUCCAAAAUUUAGUUAAUUUUAUUCUUAAAACUCUAAGUAAAUAUUUAAGUAAAUUUGAAAAUUUUAAGAUUUGUUUUGAAUUUUAGGAGUUUUCUGUGUUUUGUUUGAAAAUUAUUAUUAAAAUGAGCAUAGUUUGAUUAUGAAAAUAAGCACAAUUAUAAAAGGAGUUGACUACUUAAAACCCCCU